rnacentral:rRNA from 1 species
GACGGAGGAUGCAAGUGUUAUCCGGAAUCACUGGGCGUAAAGCGUCUGUAGGUGGUUUAAAAAGUCCACUGUUAAAAAUUGAAGCUUAACUUCAAAGAUGCCGUGGAAACUUUUAAACUUGAGUAUGAUAGGGGUAGAGGGAAUUUCCAGUGGAGCGGUGAAAUGCGUAGAUAUUGGAAAGACCACCGAUGGCGAAGGCACUCUACUGGGCCAUGACUGACACUGAGAGACGAAAGCUAGGGGAGCGAAUGGG